rnacentral:rRNA from 1 species
GAUGAACGCUGGCGGCGUGCCUAAUACAUGCAAGUCGAGCGCGAGAAUGAGGAGCUUGCUCCUCAUAAUCGAGCGGCGGACGGGUGAGUAACACGUAGGCAACCUACCCUUGAGAUUGGGAUAACUACCGGAAACGGUAGCUAAUACCGGAUACGACUUUUCCACACAAGUGGAAUUGUUAAAAGGCGGAUUUAUCUGCCGCUCAUGGAUGGAUCUGCGGUGCAUUAGCUAGUUGGUGAGGUAGUGGCUCACCAAGGCGACGAUGCAUAGCCGACCUGAGAGGGUGAUCGGCCACACUGGGACUGAGACACGGCCCAGACUCCUACGGGAGGCAGCAGUAGGGAAUCUUCCGCAAUGGACGCAAGUCUGACGGAGCAACGCCGCGUGAGUGAUGAAGGGUUUCGGCUCGUAAAACUCUGUUGUUAAGGAAGAACACUUGAGGUAGUAACUGGCCUUGAGAUGACGGUACUUAACCAGAAAGCCACGGCUAACUACGUGCCAGCAGCCGCAGUAA